CGCCUAUCUUUCGCCCUCAAUCCCGCGUACAACCGCUUCGUCGCAAGACGAUGGCGCUGAACCUUAGAAUGGACUGCGGGCAGACCCGGGGGCAGUACCCGGCGCCUCCACCUUAGCAGCUUGAGCUUAAAGGUCUCAUUUCAGCAUGAUCCGGAAAAGUGGGUACCGGUUUUCCGAUAGGAUCAUGCCCAAUAUGAGAUCGAUUCUGCCGCAAGGCAAAAUCCCAGGGCUGCUAUGGCGGGGGCGAACCAGGAUCGAUGGUCGCAAAGAAGUUCUGAAUUGUGCUCGGCAUGAUACCGCCGUUAUCGGGUCAAAAACCUAAAUGCAAACGAUAACGUUGCAUUGAACGAAGUGCGCCUCGCGGCGUAACCUGUUCGGGGUUGGUCCACCUGGCAACAGAACGGCCAUGGCC
rnacentral:tmRNA from 1 species